AUUAAGGAAGAGUCGGAAAACCCCUUGAGUCCUCAACCUCCAUCUAAACACAACCACUUCUGGGCUAUUCUGUGCACCAGGCACUAGCACUUCACAUGGAGCAUCCCUACAGGAUAAUACUGGGCAUGAUGCCUGCACUGGCUUGGUUCUAGGAGGACUUGAUGGUGGAUGGAGAGUGUGCAUAGAAGGACCACACUUCAAACCUGAAGCAGAGAGACUGGGAUCCUACAGUCCAUUUGGAGGACACGCCCCCAUUGGCCUAAGUAUCUCCCUUCAGAAUACUGGUGAUGUGGUCUUGGAGAAGCCUUUCUACAGAAGACUAAAGAAGUGGAGAAACCAUCAAGGGAAGUGUUGAAGCUCAUCGAGGAGAGCCGCACAGCUACACCAGCAUCCUCAGGUUCCAGAGAAAAUGAGUCUGAAGAAACAAAUAUAUCAAGAUCAAGAAAGAAAUGAGAAGGCUGAGUGUUUAAGACCAUAAGAAGAGAGUUGUUUUCUUUUUAAAUUAACGAGUUACAUAACUUAGAUAAUGCUGUAAAAUGUGCUCUUUUGCA